AUGGCUCAGGAUGAACGCUAGCUACAGGCUUAACACAUGCAAGUCGAGGGUAGCAGGGUAGCAAUACCGCUGACGACCGGCGCACGGGUGAGUAACACGUAUCCAACCUUCCCAUAACUCAGGGAUAGCCUUUCGAAAGAAAGAUUAAUACCUGAUAGUACUUUUUCAAGGCAUCUUGAAAAAGUUAAAGAUUUAUUGGUUAUGGAUGGGAUGCGUUCCAUUAGAUAGUUGGUGAGGUAACGGCUCACCAAGUCUUCGAUGGAUAGGGGUUCUGAGAGGAAGGUCCCCCACAUUGGUACUGAGACACGGACCAAACUCCUACGGGAGGCAGCAGUGAGGAAUAUUGGUCAAUGGGCGAGAGCCUGAACCAGCCAAGUAGCGUGAAGGAAUGAAGGUCCUAUGGAUUGUAAACUUCUUUUAUAGUAGAAUAAAGUGAGCCACGUGUGGUUUUUUGUAUGUAUACUAUGAAUAAGGAUCGGCUAACUCCGUGCCAGCCGCUGC
rnacentral:rRNA from 1 species